rnacentral:rRNA from 1 species
AUCCAGACUCCUACGGGAGGCAGCAGUGAGGAAUAUUGGUCAAUGGCCGAGAGGCUGAACCAGCCAAGUCGCGUGAGGGAAGAAUGUCCUAUGGAUUGUAAACCUCUUUUGUCAGGGAGCAAAGUCACCCACGUGUGGGUGUUGGAGAGUACCUGAAGAAAAAGCAUCGGCUAACUCCGUGCCAGCAGCCGCGGUAAUACGGAGGAUCCGAGCGUUAUCCGGAUUUAUUGGGUUUAAAGGGAGCGUAGAUGGGUUGUUAAGUCAGUUGUGAAAGUUUGCGGCUCAACCGUAAAAUUGCAAUUGAUACUGGCAGCCUUGAGUACAGUUGAGGUAGGCGGAAUUCGUGGUGUAGCGGUGAAAUGCUUAGAUAUCACGCAGAACUCCGAUUGCGAAGGCAGCAUACCGGCGCGCAACUGACGCUCAUGCACGAAAGCGUGGGUAUCGAACAGGAUUAGAUACCCUAGUA